rnacentral:rRNA from 1 species
CCUACGUGUGGCAGCAGUGGGGAAUAUUGCACAAUGGGGGAAACCCUGAUGCAGCGACGCCGCGUGAGCGAAGAAGUAUUUCGGUAUGUAAAGCUCUAUCAGCAGGGAAGAAAAUGACGGUACCUGAGUAAGAAGCUCCGGCUAAAUCCGUGCCAGCAGCCGCUGUAAUACGUAUGGAGCCAGCGUUAUCCGGAUUUACUGGGCGUAAAGGGAGCGUAGGCGGGCUGGCAAGUCUGAUGUGAAAUACCUGGGCUCAACCCCGGGGCUGCAUUGGAAACUGGCAGGCUGGAGUGCCGGAGAGGCAGGCGGAAUUCGUAGUGUAGCGGUGAAAUGCGUAGAUAUCAGGAAGAACACCGGUGGCGAAGGCGGCCUGCUGGACGGUGACUGACGCUGAGGCUCGAAAGCGUGGGGAGCAAACAGGAUUAGAUACCCGGGUAGUC